rnacentral:rRNA from 1 species
UACGAAGGGAGCUAGCGUUGUUCGGAAUCACUGGGCGUAAAGCGCACGUAGGCGGCUUCUUAAGUCAGGGGUGAAAUCCUGGAGCUCAACUCCAGAACUGCCUUUGAUACUGGGAGGCUUGAGUCCGGGAGAGGUGAGUGGAACUGCGAGUGUAGAGGUGAAAUUCGUAGAUAUUCGCAAGAACACCAGUGGCGAAGGCGGCUCACUGGCCCGAUACUGACGCUGAGGCACGAAAGCGUGGGGAGCAAACAGG